GACGAACGCUGGCGGCGUGCUUAACACAUGCAAGUCGAACGGAAAGGCCUCUUUCGGGGGGUACUCGAGUGGCGAACGGGUGAGUAACACGUGAGUAACCUGCCCUUGACUUUGGGAUAACUUCAGGAAACUGGGGCUAAUACCGGAUAGGAGCUCCUGCUGCAUGGUGGGGGUUGGAAAGUUUCGGCGGUUGGGGAUGGACUCGCGGCUUAUCAGCUUGUUGGUGGGGUAGUGGCUUACCAAGGCUUUGACGGGUAGCCGGCCUGAGAGGGUGACCGGCCACAUUGGGACUGAGAUACGGCCCAGACUCCUACGGGAGGCAGCAGUGGGGAAUAUUGCACAAUGGGUGGAAGCCUGAUGCAGCAACGCCGGGUGCGGGAGGACGGCCGUCGGGUUGUAAACCGCUUUCGCUCAUGACGAAGCUUUGUGUGACGGUAGUGGGUAAAGAAGCACCGGCUAACUACGUG
rnacentral:rRNA from 1 species